rnacentral:rRNA from 1 species
GACGAACGCUGGCGGCGUGCCUAAUACAUGCAAGUCGAACGCAGGGGGGACGGGUGAGUAACACGUGGGUAACCUCCCAUCAGAGGGGAUAACACUUGGAAACAGGUGCUAAACCGAUACUGAUGGAUGGACCCGCGGGGCAUUAACUAGUUGGGGAUGUAACGGCUCACCAAGGCCACUAUGCAUAGCCGACCUGAGAGGGUGACCGUCCACACUGGGACGGAGAACCGGCCCAGACUCCUACGGUAGGCAGUAGUAGGGAAUCUUCCUCAAUGGACUAAAGUCUGACCGAGCAACGCCGCGUGAGUGAAGAAGGUUUUCGGAUCGUAAAACUCUGUUGUUAGAGAAGCGGUAUCUAACCAGAAAGCCACGGCUAACUACGUGCCAGCAGCCGCGGUAAUAC